AACGAACGCUGGCGGCAUGCCUAACACAUGCAAGUCGAACGAGACCUUCGGGUCUAGUGGCGCACGGGUGCGUAACGCGUGGGAACCUGCCCUUAGGUUCGGAAUAACUCCCCGAAAGGGGUGCUAAUACCGGAUAAUGUCUUCGGACCAAAGAUUUAUCGCCUUUGGAUGGGCCCGCGUUGGAUUAGCUAGUUGGUAGGGUAAAAGCCUACCAAGGCGACGAUCCAUAGCUGGUCUGAGAGGAUGAUCAGCCACACUGGGACUGAGACACGGCCCAGAAUCCUACGGGAGGGAGCAGUGGGGAAUAUUGGACGAUGGGCGAAAGCCUGAUCCAGCAAUGCCGCGUGAGUGAUGAAGGCCUUAGGGUUGUAAAGCUCUUUUACCCGGGAUGAUAAUGACAGUACCGGGAGAAUAAGCUCCGGCUAACUCCGUG
rnacentral:rRNA from 1 species